rnacentral:rRNA from 1 species
ACACGACUACAUUUAGAUACCCUGGUAGUCCUAGGCGUAAAUGAUGCGAGUUAAGUNUGGGGGCAUCUACGAGAUGGCCCUGUGCUGUAGGGUAGCCGUUAAACUCGCUGCCUGGGAGUACGGUCGCAAGGCUGAAACUUAAAGGAAUUGCGGGGGAGCACCACAAGAGGUGGAGGCUGCGGUUCAAUUGGACUCAACGCCGGAAAACUCAUCGGGAGCGACAGCAGUAUGAUUGCCAGGUUGAUGACCUUGCUUGACUAAGCUG